UGCCUCUGCUGGUGUUUUGUGAGUGAGCCUGGGAUAGGGACUUAGGAGAAGCUACAAACUUCUAUGUACCUCAGGAAUGCUAGCGUGAAUCUAGAGUAACUCCAUUGGGAUUUACCACAGCUUUUUGAGUUAUAUCUGUGUCAAAUGCAAAGUAUGUGGCUGUUGACUGGCAGCUAUGUUUAGAACUUGGGAAAUAAUUCAUGAAGUCCCCAAGAAUUUCAAGGUGAUCUUCAAAGUGAUCUGAAGAAUAAUUUGGAAACUUUUAUUAUGGAAUUUGGAGGAAGAGUCUUUAGCAGUUAAUCAGGCAAAGAUAGGAGAAGAAAGGGAGAAGAGGAAAGCAGAUGUGAAGCCACAGAUGAUGGUAUGACAUAAGAGGAUGAACAGAUGUCUUCAAGAUUUACCAGUCAGUUGUGGAAAGGUGUUGACCACUUGUGUGAGAUUAUACUAUGGAACUUCUUUCUCUGAACAUGGAUGAAAUAUUUCUCUAAGCUUUGAAUGUAAAUUGAAAGAAAAUAGGUAAACAAGCUCUUUUUUUAUUUCAGUCUUGAAACCACAUUAAAAAGAAUGCCACCUGUAGUUCCAAAUUAUUUUCAUGUUUUGAAUAUUUAUGAAUGAUACUUUUUUACGCAGUUCUUUGGAAAGUGUUCAGCAAUAGUUUAGACUUAAAAGAGCAUUUAACCAUUUUGUAUUUGAUAAGUUUCAUAAAAUAAGAAUAUGAAUAACAUUUUUGACAUAGUAAAUGUGUGGGAAUAUUUAAUAUACUGACAAUUAACACAGAUAAUGUAUUGAGUCCUAUGUAUUCAAACAUUUAAAUAUAUGACUGUAUAGUUAGGAUU